rnacentral:rRNA from 1 species
ACUUGCCCUUAUCAGGAGGAUAGCCCGGGGAAACUCGGAUUAAUACUCCAUAAGAUUUUGAUUGGCAUCGAUUAAAAUUGAAAGAUUUAUUGGAUAAGGAUAGGCAUGCGUCAGAUUAGUUAGUUGGUAGUGUAACGGACUACCAAGGCGAUGAUCUGUAGGGGGCCUGAGAGGGUGAACCCCCACACUGGUACUGAGACACGGACCAGACUCCUACGGGAGGCAGCAGUGAGGAAUAUUGGACAAUGGAGGGAACUCUGAUCCAGCCAUCCCGCGUGCAGGAAGACGGCCCUAUGGGUUGUAAACUGCUUUUGUAUGGGGAUAAAUCUACCUACGUGUAGGUAGUUGAAGGUACCAUACGAAUAAGCAUCGGCUAACUCCGUGCCAGCAGCCGCGGUAAUACGGAGGAUGCAAGCGUUAUCCGGAUUCAUUGGGUUUAAAGGGUCCGUAGGCGGGCUGAUAAGUCAGUGGUGAAAUUUUGUCGCUCAACGAUAAAACUGCCAUUGAUACUGUUAGUCUUGAGUGAUAUUGAAGUAGCUGGAAUGUGUAGUGUAGCGGUGAAAUGCAUAGAUAUUACACAGAACACCGAUUGCGAAGGCAGGUUACUAAGUAUUAACUGACGCUGAAGGACGAAAGCGUGGGGAGCGAACAGGAUUAGAUACCCUGGUAGUCCACGCA